GAUGAAGAACGUAGCGAAAUGCGAUAAGUAAUGUGAAUUGCAGAAUUCAGUGAAUCAUCGAGUCUUUGAACGCACAUUGCGCCCCCUGGUAUUCCGGGGGGCAUGCCUGUCCGAGCGUCAUUGCUGCCCUCAAGCACGGCUUGUGUGUUGGGCCCCGCCCCCCGGCUCCCGGGGGGCGGGCCCGAAAGGCAGCGGCGGCACCGCGUCCGGUCCUCGAGCGUAUGGGGCUUCGUCACCCGCUCCGUAGGCCCGGCCGGCGCCCGCCGGCGACCCCCCUCAAUCUUUUCAGGUUGACCUCGGAUCAGGUAGGGAUACCCGCUGAACUUAAGCAUAUCAAUAAGCGGAGA
rnacentral:misc_RNA from 1 species